rnacentral:lncRNA from 1 species
CAGAAGUCCCAGAGCACAGACUUUAAAAUCAAAUAAUCUUCUCAUGAGCUAUUGGACCACGAGAGGACCUCGGACAACUCCAGAAAACUGGGCAACAGACCCAGGUUUUGUGAUGACAACCUGAAGAGAGGAGUGUCGCCCUCCUCCCUACCCUCCCUGCCCCAGACUCUGGUUCCUUCAUGCCGUCAAGAUUUCUUAGAGGUGAGUUCAUUGUUUAAAGGCGUUUUUAUUUAUUUACAGUGUUUGUUGGAGCCGAAAAUGUUUGACCUCAGUGGAGGGAUUGAUAAUUCC